UACGUAGGGUGCAAGCGUUGUCCGGAAUUAUUGGGCGUAAAGAGCUCGUAGGCGGUCUGUCGCGUCUGCUGUGAAAACCUAGGGCUUAACCCUGGGCCUGCAGUGGGUACGGGCAGACUAGAGUGCGGAAGGGGCAACUGGAAUUCUUGGUGUAGCGGUGAAAUGCGUAGAUAUCGGGAGGAACACCAGUGGCGAAGGCGACUUCCUGGCCUGUUCUUGACGCUGAGGCGCGAAAGCUAGGGUAGCAAACGGG
rnacentral:rRNA from 1 species